GAUGAACGCUGGCGGCGUGCUUAACACAUGCGAGUCGAACGGAAAGGCUCCUGCUUGCAGGGGCACUCGAGUGGCGAACGGGUGAGUAACACGUGGGUGAUCUGCCCUGCACUUCGGGAUAAGCCUGGGAAACUGGGUCUAAUACCGGAUAGGACCAUCGUUUAGUGUCGGUGGUGGAAAGUUUUUUCGGUGUGGGAUGAGCUCGCGGCCUAUCAGCUUGUUGGUGGGGUAAUGGCCUACCAAGGCGUCGACGGGUAGCCGGCCUGAGAGGGUGUACGGCCACAUUGGGACUGAGAUACGGCCCAGACUCCUACGGGAGGCAGCAGUGGGGAAUAUUGCACAAUGGGCGCAAGCCUGAUGCAGCGACGCCGCGUGGGGGAUGACGGCCUUCGGGUUGUAAACUCCUUUCGCCAGGGACGAAGCGAAAGUGACGGUACCUGGAGAAGAAGCACCGGCUAACUACGUG
rnacentral:rRNA from 1 species